rnacentral:rRNA from 1 species
GAUGAACGCUGGCGGCGUGCCUAAUACAUGCAAGUCGAGCGAACGGACGAGAAGCUUGCUUCUCUGAUGUUAGCGGCGGACGGGUGAGUAACACGUGGAUAACCUACCUAUAAGACUGGGAUAACUUCGGGAAACCGGAGCUAAUACCGGAUAAUAUUUUGAACCGCAUGGUUCAAAAGUGAAAGACGGUCUUGCUGUCACUUAUAGAUGGAUCCGCGCUGCAUUAGCUAGUUGGUAAGGUAACGGCUUACCAAGGCAACGAUGCAUAGCCGACCUGAGAGGGUGAUCGGCCACACUGGAACUGAGACACGGUCCAGACUCCUACGGGAGGCAGCAGUAGGGAAUCUUCCGCAAAGGGCGAAAGCCUGACGGAGCAACGCCGCGUGAGUGAUGAAGGUCUUCGGAUCGUAAAACUCUGUUAUUAGGGAAGAGCAUAUGUGUAAGUAACUGUGCACAUCUUGACGGUACCUAAUCAGAAAGCCACGGCUAACUACGUG